UUUACAUUUUAUUAUAUGAUGUAUAAA
rnacentral:tRNA from 1 species